GAGAGAGAGAGAGAGAAGCCAAAGCGGAGCCAGCGAGGGGGAAACCCGGAUGUUUGAUACAAAGAGGGUUGGAGGGGGGCGGAGCGGAGCGGGGGCUCCGCUGUUCUGAAUGGGGCGCGGCGCUGCCCGUCAACCCCGCGGAGCUCCGCGCACCGCCCGCGGCUCCUGCAACCGCGCUGCGCCGGGAGGUGCGGGGCUGGGGGUGCGUGGGGAGCCCCUGCGAUGUCCUUGUUAGGGCCCUUGUGCUGUUAGCGGGCUUCUCUCCAUCGCCAGCGCUGCGGAUGCUGAGCUCCGCCCGCGAUUUAUUGCAAUUAUAAUGAGGAUCGUGCGAAAAUAGGGAGCCCGGAGGGGUCUUAAGGGGGAAGAGGGGUGGAGAAACUGGAUGGUCAGCUUGGGUGCCCGAAGCUCUGGGGAAAUGGAAAUCGUUCUCUGCAAACUUUAGAAGCGCUUUGCUCCGUGGAGAAAUUCGGGUGGUUUGGGUGUUUGGUUUUUUUUCACCUUUGGGAAACAACUUCACCUUAGAGAGAGGUUGUAACCUCUGGGAAGGUGGUUUUUGUGUAUGUAUAACAGCCAUGGAAUGUGCUCUGUGCUGUGAGCAGGAUCCCAUGUGGAGCUGCUGGGAACUGAUGGCCGAUAUCCUUCAUGCUGCCAUGCCUCGGAAAGGGAGGGCACCCACAGAACCUUACAUACAUGGCAUGGGGAGGUCAUGGGGACUUUGCAGCCAGUACAGCUGCAGGAAAGCAUCCAAAAUAAUACAAAUAUGGAGCAAAAUGCACUGAAACCAAAGCCCACGGGGAGUCAGGAGAAAGCAAGGUGUGUCGUGGCACCUGGGUAAGUUAAAGCGCGGCUGGGAAAUGAGAUGGAGAUGUGUUUGUGAGAGGUCAGAGCUGGGGGUUGAUCCCUGCUCCUUGCAUUGACGCAGUGUGCUCAUGGAGGCAGUGGGGUCACUGACCAUGGAGGACCUCAAGAACCAUGGAGAUGUGGCCCUGGGGGACAUAGUGGGCAUGGUGGGAUGGGUUGGUGGUUGGACCAGAUGAUCUUAGAGGUCUUUCGGUCCUUAAUGGUUCUGUCAUUCUGUGAUUCUGUGACUGCACACAAGUGCAGUGGGGCUGGACAUGGGGGCAAUGGAGAGAGAAGGGCUCCUGGCUGAAGCUCAGGGAGUGUCACAGCUUCAAGAGAAGAAAAAACAUGAGCCAACAUCUCCUACUGGGCCACUUGUUUCAUUGGAGGAUAAACUCUGAAGCAGCUGAAGAACAGAGAAAUGGGUGAGACAGUAAAAUAUAAACAUGCUGACACCCAUCAGCGUCCAUCCUUCGUCUUCAGCUCUGACCAAGAGCAAUGCAGCCCUCCAAUCAGGCUCCCCAAGCGCUCCCUACCAGCACUGCUCCUGUUCUCAAUCACAGCACCAUAAUGGAGCCCCUUUCCCAGCACCUCAUAUAGCCCCCAAGGGCAAUGAUGCAACCGCUCUGAUCGCUCUGCAGCCUUGUGAAGCAAAACCCACAUUGCCUGCAACAAGUGAGGAGCACAGACUGAGGGACCCGAGGCAGCAAAAUGGUGUUCUGGCUGCAUUCCCUAUACUGGUUCCUAAAACACUGCUGUGGGUAGGAUAGGAGGCACGCACCAUUCUGGACCUUAGAUUUGCUCACAUUGUCUUUGUCUGUUGUUAUUUGACCUGAAAAUACAGCUACUCUACAGUGUGUAUGGUGACUACAGCAACACAGAGCCAAACACUCAUCUCUCCAGCUCCCUCGCCUUCCUCUUUCCCUUGAUGUUCAGCUGGCAGAAUAGCAUCAUCCUUCAAAUUCCAAGUUUUAUUUAAAAAGCCGGACUUGGCCUUUUUAAACCAUCAACAAUUGAACAGUGAGAAGGUUCAUAUGGAAUCAUCGUGCCACUGAAAUUCUCCACGCCAGCAGGGAUAUUUCAACCAACCCCAUCCCUCCUGCUGCCAUCCAACCUCUCUGCAGCCAGCUGGACCACACUGCAGCUUUGGCUUUCAGCUCUUACCUUGUGCUUUCUGACACACUUGAAGCACACGUAGAAGGACCAAUAAAACAUUUCCCAGAGCAUCUUGUCCCAGAUUGUUGGCCUUUGUCCUGAAUUUCAGUGGUAAGAGUAUAAGAAUGCCCAGUGGGGCCAAAUGCAUCCUAGAUUGCACUCCUGAAGGCUUGAAUCAGGAAAAAUACUCUCCCAGAGAAGGUAAAUAAUGAUGUUUUUGUGGCAAAUACUCUACUGCCGUUAGCAGGAGAUGAUAAGCAUUCAAGACCACAGUAUAUAUAGAGCAAGGCAGAUGCAACACUGCUCUUUUAUGUUGUACUGAGUAAUGAACUGGGUGUCACUGGUGCAGUCAUUUUUCUUUUGUUUGUUUUGGGUCCAGGCUUUUCUUUUACACCAUGGAUGAUAGUCUUUGCCUCCUGAGAGCUAAAUUGUCUGGAGGAGACCCAUCUCCAGAUGGUGAGGUGCGAAUGGAGAGGUGGCAAUGAAAGGGAUCUUCAGGUGUCACCCUGUCCAUCCUCCUCCCUUUGGUAGUGUGUAUCGGACCUCUCUUUAGUCUCACUCAGCCAAAGGAGGCCAAUUCAUCUGUCCUCUCUCUGUUCAGCCCUCCUGGUUACACUGCCAGACCUUGGAAUGCUGCAGGGCACCCUUAUGGGCUCAUCCAAACAAGUUUCACAGGCACCCACCUUGGUCUUAUUGGUUCGCCCUCCUAUUACCUGCUUUGCACUCUGGUUCCUUAUAUGGUGGGUAUGAGUAGUGCCUCUCUCUCAAUGGGAAGAGAAGUAAUUGCUUUAAGUUGUGCCAGGGGAGGUUUGAGUUGGAUGUUAGGAAGAACUUCUCUGAAAGAGAGGUGAGGUGUUGGAACAAAUUGC